rnacentral:piRNA from 1 species
GCUGUGUUAAUUUUGGAUGAGAUGGG